rnacentral:rRNA from 2 species
UGAGGAAUAUUGGUCAAUGGAGGCAACUCUGAACCAGCCACGUCGCGUGAAGGAUGACGGCCCUACGGGUUGUAAACUUCUUUUAUACAGGAAUAAAGUGAGUCACGUGUGACUUUUUGCAUGUACUGUAUGAAUAAGGAUCGGCUAACUCCGUGCCAGCAGCCGCGGUAAUACGGAGGAUCCGAGCGUUAUCCGGAUUUAUUGGGUUUAAAGGGUGCGCAGGCGGGAGAUUAAGUCGGCGGUGAAAUUUUGCAGCUCAACUGUAAAAGUGCCUUCGAAACUGGUUUCCUUGAGUGUAGAUGAAGUAGGCGGAAUUUGUGGUGUAGCGGUGAAAUGCAUAGAUAUCACGAGGAACUCCGAUUGCGAAGGCAGCUUACUGGGCUACAACUGACGCUGAGGCACGAAGGUGCGGGGAUCAAACAGG